GAUGAACGCUAGCUACAGGCUUAACACAUGCAAGUCGAACGGAGAGCUCAUGACAGAGGAUUCGUCCAAUGGAUUGAGUUUCUUAGUGGCGGACGGGUGAGUAACGCGUGAGGAACCUGCCUCGGAGUGGGGAAUAACAGUCCGAAAGGACUGCUAAUACCGCAUAAUGCAGUUGUGUCGCAUGACACUGACUGCCAAAAGAUUUAUCGCUCUGAGAUGGCCUCGCGUCUGAUUAGCUAGUUGGCGGGGUAACGGCCCACCAAGGCGACGAUCAGUAGCCGGACUGAGAGGUUGGCCGGCCACAUUGGGACUGAGACACGGCCCAG
rnacentral:rRNA from 1 species